rnacentral:rRNA from 1 species
CCUACGGGUGGCUGCAGUAACGAAUCUUCCGCAAUGCACGAAAGUGUGACGGAGCGACGCCGCGUGGAGGACGAAGUUCUUCGGAAUGUAAACUCCUGUCAGGGGCGGUGCCCCAGAGGAAGGCACGGCUAACUCUGUGCCAGCAGCCGCGGUAAGACAGAGGUGCCGAGCGUUAGGCGGAAUCACUGGGCUUAAAGCGUGUGUAGGCGGGCGGGCAAGUACCUUGUGAAAUCCCACGGCUCAACCGUGGAACUGCUGGGUAUACUGCCUGUCUUGAGCCAGCCAGGGGCAGGCGGAACAGACGGUGGAGCGGUGAAAUGCGUGAUAUCGUCUGGAACGCCAAAGGUGAAAACAGACUGCUGGCUGUGCUGACGCUGAGACACGAAAGCCAGGGGAGGAACGGGAUUAGAUACCCUUGUAGUC